AGUGGCGGACGGGUGAGUAACGCGUGAGAAUCUGCCUUGGGGUCGGGGACAACCACUGGAAACGGUGGCUAAUACCGGAUAAGCCGAUUGGUGAAAGAUUUAUUGCCCGAAGAGGAGCUCGCGUCUGAUUAGCUAGUUGGUGAGGUAAGAGCUCACCAAGGCAGCGAUCAGUAGCUGGUCUGAGAGGACGAUCAGCCACACUGGGACUGAGACACGGCCCAGACUCCUACGGGAGGCAGCAGUGGGGAAUUUUCCGCAAUGGGCGAAAGCCUGACGGAGCAAGACCGCGUGAGGGAGGAAGGCUCUUGGGUUGUAAACCUCUUUUCUCAGGGAAGAAGCUCUGACGGUACCUGAGGAAUCAGCCUCGGCUAACUCCGUGCCAGCAGCCGCGGUAAUACGGAGGAGGCAAGCGUUAUCCGGAAUUAUUGGGCGUAAAGCGUCCGCAGGUGGCGAUUCAAGUCUGCUGUCAAAGCACGGGGCUUAACUCCGUAAAGGCAGUGGAAACUGAAUAGCUAGAGUGCCGUAGGGGUAGAGGGAAUUCCCGGUGUAGCGGUGAAAUGCGAGAUCGGGAAGAACAUCGGUGGCGAAAGCGCUCUACUGGACGGCAACUGACACUCAGGGACGAAAGCUAGGGGAGCGAAUGGGAUUAGAUACCCC
rnacentral:rRNA from 1 species